UCCUACGGGAGGCAGCAGUGGGGAAUAUUGCACAAUGGGCGCAAGCCUGAUGCAGCGACGCCGCGUGAGGGAUGGAGGCCUUCGGGUUGUAAACCUCUUUUAUCGGGGAGCAAGCGAGAGUGAGUUUACCCGUUGAAUAAGCACCGGCUAACUACGUGCCAGCAGCCGCGGUAAUACGUAGGGUGCAAGCGUUAUCCGGAAUUAUUGGGCGUAAAGGGCUCGUAGGCGGUUCGUCGCGUCCGGUGUGAAAGUCCAUCGCUUAACGGUGGAUCUGCGCCGGGUACGGGCGGGCUGGAGUGCGGUAGGGGAGACUGGAAUUCCCGGUGUAACGGUGGAAUGUGUAGAUAUCGGGAAGAACACCAAUGGCGAAGGCAGGUCUCUGGGCCGUUACUGACGCUGAGGAGCGAAAGCGUGGGGAGCGAACAGGAUUAGAUACCCUGGUAGUCCACGCCGUAAACGGUGGAUGCUGGAUGUGGGGCCCGUUCCACGGGUUCCGUGUCGGAGCUAACGCGUUAAGCAUCCCGCCUGGGGAGUACGGCCGCAAGGCUAAAACUCAAAGAAAUUGACGGGGGCCCGCACAAGCGGCGGAGCAUGUGGAUUAAUUCGAUGCAACGCGAAGAACCUUACCUGGGCUUGACAUGUUCCCGACGGUCGUAGAGAUACGGCUUCCCUUCGGGGCGGGUUCACAGGUGGUGCAUGGUCGUCGUCAGCUCGUGUCGUGAGAUGUUGGGUUAAGUCCCGCAACGAGCGCAACCCUCGCCCUGUGUUGCCAGCACGUCGUGGUGGGAACUCACGGGGGACCGCCGGGGUUAACUCGGAGGAAGGUGGGGAUGACGUCAGAUCAUCAUGCCCCUUACGUCCAGGGCUUCACGCAUGCUACAAUGGCCGGUACAACGGGAUGCGACACGGCGACGUGGAGCGGAUCCCUGAAAACCGGUCUCAGUUCGGAUCGCAGUCUGCAACUCGACUGCGUGAAGGCGGAGUCGCUAGUAAUCGCGGAUCAGCAACGCCGCGGUGAAUGCGUUCCCGGGCCUUGUACACACCGCCCGUCAAGUCAUGAAAGUGGGCAGCACCCGAAGCCGGUGGCCUAACCCCUUGUGGGAUGGAGCCGUCUAAGGUGAGGCUCGUGAUUGGGACUAAGUCGUAACAAGGUAGCCGUACCGGAAGGUGCGGCUG
rnacentral:rRNA from 1 species